rnacentral:rRNA from 1 species
UACGGAGGAUGCGAGCGUUAUCCGGAUUUAUUGGGUUUAAAGGGUGCGUAGGCGGAAUAUCAAGUCAGCGGUAAAAAUUCGGGGCUCAACCCCGUCGUGCCGUUGAAACUGGCUGGCUUGAGUUGGGGAAAGGCAGGCGGAAUGCGCGGUGUAGCGGUGAAAUGCAUAGAUAUCACGCAGAACCCCGAUUGCGAAGGCAGCGUACCGGCCGGUCACUGACGCUGAGGCACGAAAGCGCGGGUAUCGAACAGG